GUGCAGUCACACAGGCAAGUCUUUAAUGAAUAUAUAAACUCUUUUCACCUUGGAUGAGAGUGGGAAUUUUUUGUUUCACUGAAAUAAACAUCCUGCUAUAUGAUCAUUCAGGAGCUUGGAUGAUGUUCGCAUGAACCUCGAAGUUGUCAAGUAUUGUGCAACCGUUUUGUUCCUGGUAUGGUACUAGUUUUUGAGUGGCAAAUGUUGUAACACUGUGUUGUUUUCAACGAUGUGCCUUUGGCAUCACAAAAUUUAAGCACCAUAUUUCACUUGCCUCAACUUGGGAAAUGUUAGAUCAGACAUUUUUUUCAGUGACAAUGCUUCUGUGAGUUUAUGCAAGAUUCUGAAUGCUUGUGACAAUGCUGCCAAAAGAAUUUUCGAAGACUGCGAAAGCAGUUCCGAGUGGAAGCCUAUCAUGGGUAUAAAUUAUCGUUACAUCAACAAUCCGACCGUGAGACUGCAGUAAGUUUUUCCUACUUUAAAUGUUAUGUUUCAGAUAGUUUAAAGACAUGGACUUGAAUCUUGUAACUAUUUCAUUGAUUCUUUGAUUUGUUUCUGGCAGCAUACCGACUGUAGUCAACGGCAAUAUCGCUCGCUAUGCUGCUGAGAUUCAUCAGAAGGAUAGCUCCGGUACUGUGCAAAAGCUCGUAUUCAGCAAAUUUGAUGCUGCAGAGCUUGGUAACUUAAUCAGAGGUGGGAUCUUUGUGGAUGCAUUCUUCAGCUUGGAUACUUAUGAUUAUCUGCAGAAUGCAGGCAUCAGAUUGGUGGCCAAAAAAUUGGUUAUACAUUCAGAUUAGGGGUGAUUGAUCCAUUUCAGAUUGUUUCCAGAUAUGUAAUAGCACUGUUUAUGCUAAAUCUGACUCAUAGAUAUGAGUUGAUUUCUCUCAUUCAUAGCUUCAGAAUGACAUAGGGCACUGAUAAAAAAAAGAUUGAUAUUGUAAAUUUAUGAUACUGUAAUGAUUGAAUAAUUAUUGCUAAUAAUUGAAUAAUUUCAUUUUUUUAUGUACUUCUUUCAUAUGUGUCGAGCAUCACAAUUCUUAUUUUUUGUUUUUUUUUUAUACAAUAUCUAAAAUUACCUAUAGCUUCUCCUCAUCCCUUAAAUAAGAGGGUAAUAUAUUUCAACGCACUCAAACCUACAUAUUCGUAUUGAUGCUAAUUGAACUAAGACUCAAUCGAAAAUGAUUUUAUUUUUAUACAUUGGAUAUUUCGUGCAAAUAAAUAAACUUGUUACGGUCUAAUCAUUUAUGUAUCUUUAUUAUUUUUAAAAAUUAUCUAAACGUUCUAAUUGUGUUUACUUAAUGUUUUUAAGACAUUCGUAUAAAGUUAAAUUUUUGUCAAAAUACUCAAAUAAAAGCUAAAUCUUUAAUUCUCGCUUCUUUUAUCUUUUAACAAAUUAACCUAACUUAGAUUAUUAUGUUUUAGAUUUUUCUAGGAACAUCCUUAAGUUUAUUUUAGUAUUUUAAUAAAAAAUGGGUUAAAUUUAAUUCAUUAGAAAAUAAAAAAGCAUUCAAAAAGGUUUUUUUGAAAACACACUUGAAAAUUACGUGGAUAAUAUAUNNNNNNNNNNNNNNNNNNNNNNNNNNNNNNNNNNNNNNNNNNNNNNNNNNNNNNNNNNNNNNNNNNNNNNNNNNNNNNNNNNNNNNNNNNNNNNNNNNNNUAUUAUAUUAUAUCAUAUACGAUAAAUAGUGACUUCACAGCAACAUAUUAAUAUUUAACAGUUUAAUGAUUUAAAUAAAAAUUUUUAAAUAAUUUAAUAAUUAUUUUAUAUCUUUUUUUAAAUAAUUUAACAAUUAUUUUAUAAUUUUUAAACAAACCGUAAAUUUCGUAAUAGUUACAUGUAGUUUACCCUUUUCUUAAUACCAUGUUCAUUCUUUAAAACUAAAAAUAUUAUAAUUAUUAAAAACAAAAAAAGAAUUAUAACAAAUAUUUUUAAUUUUUUAAAUAAUACUAAAUUAGAGAGUCAAAUAUCCGCGAAGGACCCAAACAGAUGUCUUCAGCAAUUAUCAGUUUAGGCUUAGGGCUAGAAAAAGCCCAUGAUAUGGUGGACAGGCCCCGUUUGCUUUUACGAAAGAAAAUUUAAAAGCCUUUGUUUGAUUAAUCUCGUCAUCUUCGACGCCGUUUCUCAGCGAACCACCAGAAACAUCCAGUAUUGUUGUUGCUGGCUGAAGGGCCUUAAACAAAGGUGUGUUUCGAUUUCGGCAAGGUUGGGGGCUUUUCCUUUUCUUGUUGGAUUUGGAUUUACUGUGGGUUUUAGCUCUUAUUAAUCACCAUCUUCCUCUCUGUAUCUCCUGGUGAGUUGAUAUUCUUUUUCUCUGUAAUCAAAUUCAUUAAUUUCUUAGUUAGAGUUGAACCUUCAGUAUUGAUUUUCUGGUGGUUUGCGCUCUUCCUCGGCGGCGCACGUUCCUUUUCCACUGCUUUUGGAAAAGCAGAAUACCAUCGGCUUUCAGGAUUAGGGUUGGCGUCUUUCUCUCCCGUUUCUUCCACUUCAAUCCCCUGGUAAGGUCACUUAGUCCUCAAAUUCGUUCUCUAGUUUCAAUUAAUUUCAGUUUUCAUCUUGUUAAAUGUAGGGGUUUUUUUUGUUUUUUUUGUAAUUCCAGGAAGCAGGAAAGCGCGAAGCUUUAAAAUUAGUUGAAAGGGAAUUUUAGAUUUUGGAAAUUGUGAGGGGAAAAUAUGGCUGAAGGGAAGGGAGGGGAUCAGAUGGAUCAUUUUCAUAGAUACCUUUCAUUUUUAUUUUUGCUUCUUUCUUUUUAUUCUCUGAUUGCUUCUCUUUGGGUGCUUGCAGGUAAGGUUACAACAGCUGUUAUUUUUAAUCUUACAUGAUAUGAAGUUGGUAUGCAAGCAGAGGUGUGGGUAUGAAGAAGAAAACCACUUACUGGAAACAGGAAUGGCUUGUGGUUAUGGUUGUUGAAGGUUUCUGCAAAGAAUGAUUGAUACCUACUCCACUGCCCUUUCUCUUUUCCCAUUUUUAUUUUAUUAUAGCAUUCACGUUAACAAUAUUAUUAUUUUAUUAUUUAUGUGUUCUUGAUAAAAAACAUAAUACUUAUUUAACCCUCGAAUUUUAUAAAAAAAAUUUAUUUUAUAAAAAAAUUAUUUUAUUCCUUCAUUUUAUUUUAUUGUCCCUUUUAACUUUUGAAUUUAUUUUUGUUGCUGAUGUGGAUAUUACAUAAGGAAUUAAUUUUUAAAAAAAUUUAAAAUAUUAACUUUUUUUUUAUCUAUUUUAAAUAAUUUGACAAAAAAAUAUAAAUUUAAUAAUUAAAAAACAAAAAAUUAAAUAAAGUACUAAACUGAUAUUUUGAUAAAGUCGGAGGUAUGCCAUUAUAUAAAAAAGAUAGAACUAUUUUGAUAUUGUAGGGAUGUGAUGGUGAAUGGUCAUAUAUAAAGCAUUAAUGGAGUCGAAAAGGAAACCCAGCUGAUGAAGUAACCCGGAAAAUCCUUUUCCUUCCUAUAAAGUGUCGGUUGAUUCAUGCAAUUGGCGCCUUCAUCAUCUCAUUUCUCUUAUCUCCAUUCUUUCAAGUCUAAAAGAAGAAAAACAAAACACUUGUUUUCUCUUCUGAAAUGGAUCCGACACCGACGUCCGAUAACCGACCUGAAAUCUGUUUUUUCGAUUUGGAGACCACCGUCCCUCAGCGGCGCGGCCAAGGCUACUCCAUUCUCGAAUUUGGUGCCAUUUUAGUUUGCCCCAAGAGGCUCCUUGAGCUCCACAGCUACUCCUCUCUGGUCCGACCCGACGACCUCUCUCUUAUUUCCCCUGCCUCUGCGCGCUGCAACGGUAUCACUCGAGAAGCCGUCAUUUCGGCACCUUCCUUUUCUGAAAUCGCCGACGAAGUUCACGACCUUCUCCAUGGUCCGCAUCUCACACUCAAAUUUCCUUCUUUUUUUGUUUUCCUUCUGGUUUUAAGUAUAUGAAGUUUUUUAAAUGAAUUUUGCAGGAAGGGUUUGGGCGGGUCAUAAUAUAGUGAGGUUUGAUUGCGUGAGAAUAAGGGAGGCGUUCGAGAAGAUUGGUAGGGCGGCGCCGGAGCCUAAGGGAAUUAUCGAUUCAUUGGCGUUGUUGACUCAAAGAUUCGGAAGGAGAGCCGGUAAUAUGAAGGUAUUUUUAUUUCUUAUAAAAACUUCAGCCUUUUUUCUAUUUUUAUAAAAACCUUAGCCAUCUUUUAUCAACCUUAUGUAUACAUAUCAUCCAUACACAUAUGGUCGUUAGAAAUUUAUAAUCAUUGUGUGAAGCAUUUAAACAUUAAAAUAUCAAGAAAACAUCAGACUGCCAGAUUUAUCCAGUUGAGCUGGGGAUCGGAAGUCCGACCGAUUUGAUUUUUUUUUUCCUAAUUCCAACAUAUUGCAAGUUUUGGCACUUGAUAUGGAGUUUUGUUUAAUGUUACUUAAAUGCAGAUGGCAACUCUUGCCAAUUAUUUCGGGAUUGGAGUGCAGUCACACAGGCAAGUCUUUAAUGAAUAUAUAAACUCUUUUCACCUUGGAUGAGAGUGGGAAUUUUUUGUUUCACUGAAAUAAACAUCCUGCUAUAUGAUCAUUCAGGAGCUUGGAUGAUGUUCGCAUGAACCUCGAAGUUGUCAAGUAUUGUGCAACCGUUUUGUUCCUGGUAUGGUACUAGUUUUUGAGUGGCAAAUGUUGUAACACUGUGUUGUUUUCAACGAUGUGCCUUUGGCAUCACAAAAUUUAAGCACCAUAUUUCACUUGCCUCAACUUGGG
rnacentral:lncRNA from 1 species